rnacentral:piRNA from 1 species
UCCAAAUGUAGCAUCUCUCCAGGUUGGGAU